AUACGGGGGGUGCGAGCGUUAUUCGGAAUUACUGGGCGUAAAGAGCGCGUAGGCGGUCUUUUAAGUCAGGUGUGAAAGCCCGGGGCUCAACCCCGGAAGUGCACUUGAAACUAAGAGACUUGAGUAUGGGAGAGGGAAGUGGAAUUCCUGGUGUAGCGGUGAAAUGCGUAGAUAUCAGGAGGAACAUCAGUGGCGAAGGCGACUUCCUGGACCAAUACUGACGCUGAGGCGCGAAGGCGUGGGGAGCAAACAGGAUUAGAAACCCCGGUAGUCC
rnacentral:rRNA from 1 species